UGGCUCAUACCUGUAAUCCUAGCUACUCAGGAGGCUGAGAUCUGGGGGUCAGGGUUGGAAGCUAGCUGGGACAAGAAAGGGACAUGAGACUCUUCUCUCCAAUUAACCACCAGAAAGUUGGAAGUGGCACUGUGGCUCAAGUGCAGAGCUCAGGGACAAUGCCCAGGCACAGAGUUUGAGCCCCUUGACAAACAACAACAAAGGCCAUUCCCAGCAUAAUUCCAAUCAUUUGUAGUAGUUAAACUAUGUAUAUACUGAUCAGGUUGAACUGUAAGAAAAAUUUGAAAUAGUAAAAUUCUUUUUAACUCAGUGUGUAAAAAGUAUUUUUAGUUAGCACAUGGAACCUAAAGGAAAAAAAAAGUUGCUAGGAAGGGUUUUUAUGGGUACUAAAGAUACAGAGCAAAAAAAAAAAAAAAAAAGUACUUUAAUAAGAAUAUUGGCCCCAAAUUGUUUCCAACUCAGUAUUUUAGUAAUAAUCUUCUGACCUUGUCAUUUCAAGUAACAAAAAUCUGCUCAUGUCUGAAAUUUACUUUUGAGUUAAUGAAGUCAUGUGCAAACUGCUUUCUAAUUCAUGUUCAUACUUAGUUUUGUAGUUGUUUUUCAGGUUAGAAAGUAGUGUCAGGGGUUGGGAAUGUGGCUUAGUGGUAGAGUGCUUGCCUUGCAUGCAUGAAGCCCUGGGUUUGAUU